rnacentral:rRNA from 1 species
UACGUAGGUGGCAAGCGUUGUCCGGAAUUAUUGGGCGUAAAGCGCGCGCAGGCGGUCCUUUAAGUCUGAUGUGAAAGCCCACGGCUCAACCGUGGAGGGUCAUUGGAAACUGGGGGACUUGAGUACAGAAGAGAAGAGUGGAAUUCCACGUGUAGCGGUGAAAUGCGUAGAGAUGUGGAGGAACACCAGUGGCGAAGGCGACUCUUUGGUCUGUAACUGACGCUGAGGCGCGAAAGCGUGGGGAGCCAAAGGG